rnacentral:rRNA from 1 species
AAUGAACGCUGGCGGCAGGCCUAACACAUGCAAGUCGAGCGGAACGGCGGGCGGGUGAGUGAUUCCUAGGUAUGUGCCUGGUAGUGGGGGAUAGCGUCCGGAAAGGGGCGCUAAUUACUAAUGCUAUCCGUUGAGUCUAGCUGGGAUUAGCUAGUUGGUGGGGUAAAGGCCUACCAAGGCGACGAACCGUAGCUGGUCUGAGAGGAUGACCAGUCACACUGGAACUGAGACACGGUCCAGACUCCUACGGGAGGCAGCAGUGGGGAAUAUUGGACAAUGGGCGAAAGCCUGAUGCAGCCAUGCCGCGUGUGUGAAGAAGGUCUUCGGGUUGUAAAGCACUUUAAGUUGGGAGGCGUUACCAACAGAAUAAGCACCGGCUAACUCCGUGCCAGCAGCCGCGGUAAUAC